AAACAUGCCAGUAAAAAUUCGAUCGGGAAAGUAGUCCAUGGACGACAGGCUCCUCAGUGUGGAUGACAGCACCUCCCCAUGGCUGAGUCAAGCACAGCUGGAUGCCAGAGAUGAAAAGAGGGAAGCCUUGCCUCUGUUUAUGUACUGUCUUUCUCUGUUAAUUAUAUAAUGACAUUGGAUGUUUCCCAUAUAAGAAAAAGGUAAAGGUAAAGGUUUCCCCUGACGUUAAGUCUAGUCGUGUCCAACUCUGGGGGUUGGUGCUCAUCUCCAUUUCUAAGCCAAAGAGCCGGCGAUGUCCAUAGACACCUCCACGGUCAUGUGGCCGGCAUGACUGCAUGGAAUGCCGUUACCUUCCCGCCGGAGUGGUACCUAUUGAUCUACUCACAUUUGCAUAUUUCGAACUGCUAGGUCAGCAGUUGGAAUCCGGAGAGCAGGGUAAGCUCCUGCUGUUAGCCUCAGCUUCUGCCAACCUAGCAGUUCGAAAAUAUGCAAAUGUGAGUAGAUCAACAGGUACUGCUCUGGCAGGAAGGUAACGGAGCACCAUGUAGUCAUGACCUUGGAGGCGUCUACAGACAACUCUGGCUCUUUGGCUUAGAAAUGGAGAUGAGCACCAACCCCCAGAGAUGGAUACAACUAGACUUAAUGUCAAGGGGAAACCUUUGCCUCUACUACACCCACGACCCCCUCCCCCACCAAAGAGUUACAACAAAAAUUGUAAUUUGAAAACCAAACUCUUAUAAUAUUACAGUCAUUAUGUAAUGUAGUUAUUGGUGAAAUAAUUACAAAUUACUAGAAAUUCACCACUUGUUGCUUCCAUACUAUGCAACCACUCAAUUGCAAAGAAAGACAGAUAGUAGGCAGGAAUUAGGAGUGUGCAAAACAGCAGAAAUCCAUUCUGCCGUUGUUUCAAAUUUUGAGUGAGCCCCCGUCCCAUCCUGUUUUCAGGAGAAUUCUUCCCAAAACGGGAACAGAACUCCAGAUCCAAAAUUACGAAUCGGAACAGCCCCCUCUUAAUCUCCCAGAAUCUUCCUGAAAACAGAAUGAAAACAGAACAAAAACAAAAUGGAUUUCUGCCAUUUUGCACACUCCUAGUGGGAAUGGUUGAAAGUUUGUCUACAUUAUUUACUUUUUCAUUGAAGGAUAUCUGAUAGCUGGGCACCUAAAGCACAGGUUGAAAAUCAAUUCCAUAAAAUAAGGGUCAUUUAUUUUACAAACUAAGGGGCAUUGCAUGGAACUCUUUAUACAUGGAAUUUCUCAAUAUAAAUUGUCAUUAAUUAUUGCUUUGGUUUGCACUUUUCUUUUUCAGGCUGCAAAGCAUUGUUAACACUGCACUGCAUACUUUAGAAAUAUCUGCAAAGAAAGAAGGUAUAUUAGCUAAGAGUUUUCAGCUUCAUUUAAUCUGGCCAUGAUACAUUAGCUGGAGAGAUAAUAGAUUUAUUCUCUUCCUCCUUAUGCUGCCCAUUAGUAGUAACUGUCCAAGAACACCAGGGGAUAUAAAAGGUCUUAAUUCAAGCACACCAAAAUUAAUAAAACUGUCAGUUUGAAAGAGCAAAAUUUAGUUUUUAAAAGAAAAAUAAAGCUAUUAUAAAGAGCAAAUUUAGCAAAACAAUCAACAUUGGUAAGAUCCUUGUGGAAUAUUUAUAAGCUUUUGAACACAUGGGAAAGCUGUGAUGUUUUAAGUUCUCAAACAAAUGGUGGAUCGCUUGAGGAACAAAAGAACAAAGAAAGUAGUUCACAAUAAAAACAAAAGAAGCUUUAUUUAUUUACAAGGCUUUACCUAACUGCAGCUGCUCCCUGUCAGUCAACCUCAUUAAAAUCUCUCGUUCUUGACUAGGUCUUGGUAUGUUUUGAAUUAAAGAACUGAGUAUUAAAACCAGCUAGAUUGUGAAAAACCACACCUUGAGCUAAACCAUAUAGUAGGAUACCAUCAGGUAUGUUUCAACAUUCAGAUUCUUUCAAAUUAAUAUGCUUCUGAGGAUGCAUGCAUACUGCAUACUUAUAACAAUCUUAUAUCCCUUUAAUUGUCAUUGCUCCAUCCUAUGGCAUUUUGUAAUUGGUAAUUUGUUGUUAUUCCUGGGUAGAUAGCAGAGAAUUCUAUCACACUACAAACUCUGUAUUCCAUCAGAUGGAGCCACAGUAGUUAACAUUUAUAUAGUAUGGCUAUUAGAGGUGUGCAAUUCAGCAAAAACCUGUGCUGUUUUCGGUGUCUAGUUUUCAGCUGUCCCCUGUUCCAAUUUUAGGGAACUUACUAAUUUCAGGAGGGGAUUCUGUUUUCAGGCUGAAAAGAUUUGUCCAUUGGUGCCAAUGGGGAAACUUUGGAGGCUCAUUUCUCCAUCAUUUUUAGAAAUGAUCAUCAUGAAACUUGCCUCACUUAUAGGCCACAUUUCCUACUGCAAGCCUGCCAAGUUUCAGAACGUUUCAUCACUCCACUGAUAUUUUUUUAAAGUUUUUACCAUAAUAUUUUUAAGCCACAAGAGGGGGUUCUGGGAAUUGAGG
rnacentral:lncRNA from 1 species